rnacentral:tRNA from 1 species
ACCGUCUUAGCUCAGUGGUAGAGCGCGUGGCGUUUAACCGCGUGGUCGUGGGUUCGAUCUCCACAAAUGGUG